AUGGGUAGGGGAGCGUUCUCAUCGGGCUGAAGCAGUACCGUAAGGAGUUGUGGACUGAUGAGAAGUGAGAAUGUCGGUAUGAGUAGCGAAAAGAAUGGUGAGAAUCCAUUCCACCGAAAGCCUAAGGGUUCCUGAGCAACGAUCGUCGUCUCAGGGUAAGUCGGGACCUAAUCCGAGGCAGAGAGCGUAGGAGAUGGACAACUGGUUGAUAUUCCAGUACCGGUAGUAAUUGUUUGAGCAAUGGAGUGACACAGAAGGGCAGGCAAGCAUGCGAAUGGAAGAGCAUGUGUAAGCGUGUAGGGUGGUGCAUAGGCAAAUCCGUGCACUGAAAGCCUGAGGCGUGAUGCGGAGUGAGCAGAGAUGCGAGCGAAGUUGUUGACCCCACACUGUCGAGAAAAGCUUCUAGUGAGAGAGCUACCGCCCGUACCGUAAACCGACACAGGUAUGCGGGGAGAGAAUCCUAAGGUGCGCGGGAGAACCCUCGUUAAGGAACUCGGCAAAAUGUACCCGUAACUUCGGGAUAAGGGUAGCCACUGUUGUGAAGUCCCAUGCGGAUGGAGCAUAGAGUGGUCGCAGAGAAGAGGCCCAAGCGACUGUUUACCAUAAACACAGGUGCCUGCUAAAGCGAAAGCUGACGUAUAGGUGCUGACACCUGCCCAGUGCCGGAAGGUUAAGGAAGGAUGUUCGGAUUAGUCCAAAGCAUUCGACUGAAGCCCCGGUGAACGGCGGCCGUAACUAUAACGGUCCUAAGGUAGCGAAAUUCCUUGUCGGGUAAGUUCCGACCCGCACGAAAGGUGUAACGAUUUGGGCACUGUCUCAACGAGGGACCCGGUGAAAUUGAAAUACCUGUGAAGAUGCAGGUUACCCGCGACUGGACAGAAAGACCCCAUGGAGCUUUACUGUAACCUGACAUUGGGUUUUGAUACAUUACGUACAGGAUAGGUGGGAGGCUUGGAAAGCUGGACGCUAGUCUGGCUGGAGCCGACGUUGGGAUACCACCCUUGAUGUAUUGAAAUUCUAACCGCGAGAGUAACGAAAUCCGGGACAGUGUCAGGCGGGCAGUUUGACUGGGGCGGUCGCCUCCGAAAGAGUAACGGAGGCGCCCAAAGGUUCCCUCAGCGCGGCCGGAAAUCGCGCGAAGAGUGUAAAGGCAGAAGGGAGCUUGACUGCGAGUCAAACACGACGAGCAGGUACGAAAGUAGGGCUUAGUGAUCCGGUGGUACCGAGUGGAAGGGCCAUCGCUCAACGGAUAAAAGCUACCCUGGGGAUAACAGGCUAAUCUCUCCCAAGAGUCCAUAUCGACGGGGAGGUUUGGCACCUCGAUGUCGGCUCAUCACAUCCUGGGGCUGAAGUAGGUCCCAAGGGUAUGGCUGUUCGCCAUUUAAAGAGGUACGUGAGCUGGGUUUAAA
rnacentral:rRNA from 1 species